UUCGCAAUGCCCGAAAGGGUGACGGAGCGACGCCGCGUGGACGACGAAGGCCCUCGGGUUGUAAAGUCCUGUCAGGUGGGAAGAACAGCUUGGAGGUGAAUAACCUUCAAGCCUGACGUUACCAUCAGAGGAAGCACCAGCAAACUUCGUGCCAGCAGCUGCGGUAAUACGAAGGGUGCGAGCGUUGUUCGGAAUCACUGGGCUUAAAGGGCACGUAGGCGGGGAAAUAAAUCAGAAGUGAAAGCCCGGCGCUCAACGUCGGAAUUGCUUUUGAAAAUGUUUCUCUCGAGUUCAGGAGGGGAGAGCGGAACUCUUGGUGGAGCGGUGAAAUGCGUAGAUAUCAAGGGGAACGCCGGCGGCGAAAGCGGCUCUCUGGCCUAUUACUGACACUGAGUGUGCGAAAGCUAGGGGAGCAAACGGGAUUAGAUACCCCGGUAGUCCUAGCCGUAAACGAUGGGCACUAAGUAGAGGGGUUUU
rnacentral:rRNA from 1 species